rnacentral:rRNA from 1 species
AACGAACGCUGGCGGCAGGCUUAACACAUGCAAGUCGAACGGUUGUAGCAAUACAGCAGUGGCGCACGGGUGAGUAACGCGUGGAUAUCUGCCUUUUGGUUCGGAAUAACCCCGGGAAACUGGGGCUAAUACCGGAUGGUUCCUUCGGGAUAAAGAUUUAUCGCCAAAAGAUGAGUCCGCGUACGAUUAGCUAGUUGGUGAGGUAAUGGCUCACCAAGGCGACGAUCGUUAGCUGGUCUGAGAGGACGAUCAGCCACACUGGGACUGAGACACGGCCCAGACUCCUACGGGAGGCAGCAGUGGGGAAUAUUGGACAAUGGGCGCAAGCCUGAUCCAGCCAUGCCGCGUGAGUGAUGAAGGCCUUAGGGUUGUAAAGCUCUUUCACCGAUGAAGAUAAUGACGGUAGUCGGAGAAGAAGCCCCGGCUAACUUCGUGCCAGCCGCCGCUGUAAUAC